rnacentral:rRNA from 1 species
GCGGACGGGUGAGUAACACGUGAGGAACAUGCCUAUCGGCGGGGGAUAGCCGGCCCAACGGCCGGGUAAUACCGCGUACGCUCACUGGAGGGCAUCCCCUGGUGAGGAAAGCAGCAAUGCACCGAUAGAGUGCCUCGCGGCCUAUCAGCUAGUUGGUGAGGUAAUGGCUCACCAAGGCUACGACGGGUAGCUGGUCUGAGAGGAUGAUCAGCCACAUUGGGACUGAGACACGGCCCAGACUCCUACGGGAGGCAGCAGUGGGGAAUCUUGCGCAAUGGCCGAAAGGCUGACGCAGCGACGCCGCGUGUGGGAUGACGGCCUUCGGGUUGUAAACCACUGUCGGAAGGGACGAAUGGCCCGCAAGGGCAGUGACGGUACCUUCAAAGGAAGCACCGGCUAACUCCGUGCCAGCAGCCGCGGUAAU